rnacentral:antisense_RNA from 1 species
GCUGCUUUGAUCUUGUGUGUGCAUUAGACAACUGCCUGGGGCAUGAAGGGGAUGUGCUUCCCGGGCAUUUGCUGGCAGGGCGUCUCGUGAUCUCUCGGUAUUGGUGUGAGCACAGCCUGGCAGGAGAGGGCAGAUCUCAGUGCAAAGUAUGUCAAAAAGCAGAUGGAAGCCAGGCCCCCUCCUGAAAGAGGCUCCUUGAAGAUAAUUCUAACAUCUUUGUCAUCAGUGUUGACAUCUCUUGAUUGUAUCCUGUCAUUCCAUUUGAGAUCUUCCUGGUUCUGGCUGGCAUCCUCUGACAUCACUCCAGCAGAAGAAAGGGAAGGAGCACGCUGCAUUACUGCCUGGUCACAAGGUCCCUGUCUGAUCUGCCUUCACUCCACCUUUCAGAGUCUUAUGUUCGUUUUGUGUAUAUUAUCAAGGGGUUUUAGGUCACUUAGUUGGAAGAAUAGGGAAAAGUGUGUCUACUCCAGCUUUAUGGAAGUGGAAAUCUUCUGAGAAAUUUUUUUUGAUACAAAAUAUGUACAAGUACAUAUUUUGUAUCAAAAUAUAUAAUGUACAUGUCCCUUUUGUACAUGUAUAUAAAUUGUAUAUAAGUAUUUAGGGUUAUAAAAAUAACCAAAGACACCAAAAA